rnacentral:rRNA from 1 species
UGCAUCGAUGAAGAACGCAGCGAAAUGCGAUACGUAGUGUGAAUUGCAGAAUUCCGCGAAUCAUCGAGUCUUUGAACGCAAGUUGCGCCCGAGGCUCGUCCGAGGGCAUUUCCGCUAGAGCGUCACCGCGCCCCCCACCGAUCCGCUCCCGCCGCGAGGCGCCAGUCGGCUCGAGUGGAAGUGGCCGUCCCGGUCGCGAUCUUCGCGAGUGAGGGUCGGCUGAAAUGGAUGGAAUCGGGCCGCCGUGGUGACACAGUCCGCGAUCGGGUGAUUUUCCGCGAGCCUCCCCCGGGAGGGUCGCCGUGAAUUUUUCUAAGUGCGUGGCUGCGUCCCCCAGUUGGUUUCGGUUCCCUCGUGCAGGUCGUGCGCGCCCCCGCGGCGCGCGUCACGCAUCAGACCUCUAAUCGGAAAAGACUACCCGCUGAGUUUAAGCAUAUCAAUAAGCGG